GCGUGUGCGCCCCUGUGUAAGUAUGUACAUGUUCACAUAUGCAUAUAUAUAUAUAUACAUACAUACAUAUACAUACAUAGAUAUAUAUACAUACAUGUAUACAAUUUAAUAUAUUGUUUAACCUCAGGUCAAACUAUGAUCCAAAGCGCUCCAGCUGAGACCACCCCACCGCCGUGCAUACCAGGGUGUAACGCUGUCCAAUGUUAGCGUGAUUUGAAGGGUGUGGUGGUGGUGGUGGUGGUGGUGGAGUAUUUGGCUGUUGUUUCUAGCAGUUUGAAAUGACUACAUAGUAUUUUGGUCAACGAUGCUGUUGACAUUGUUGUAAGUUAUUCGUGGUUCUGUCGGUGCUGUUGUUGUUGAUGAUGAUGAUGAUGAUGAUUAUGACGACGAUGAUGAUGGUGAUGAUGAUGAUGGACAAAUAUUAUUGUUGUUGUUAUUGAUUAAACGUGGAAACUUUUUUUUAGUCGCUCCCGAGGAA